UUGUUUAUUAUCUCUUAUGAAUUUUAAAUGAUUUUUUAUAUUUAUUUGAUCUUUGUGAAAAUUCUUAAAAUAUCUCGAUUUCUAUUAUAAAUAUCGAUGUUAUUAAGUGAAAUUGUUAUGGACCUAACAAAAGAUGUGAAGUCAAAAAUUGAGAAUUUGAUUUGUAAAUAGCAAAAAUGAAUCUUAUUGUUAAUUUAAUAUUAUUGUUUUUGAUAAAACUUGUAAUUUUCAAAUUAUUUUUAAUAUUG
rnacentral:lncRNA from 1 species